rnacentral:lncRNA from 1 species
GAGAAGGCAAAGGGCACAUCUGUAAAUGUGUGUGGCUGGACAUGUGCCAGGCUGGCUGCUCAGACGUCAGCUUGCUAAGUCACGCUGGAUGGGAAUUGUUGCAUCUGGAAAAGGAGUCAUUUUGAGCUUGGCCUCUAGCUUCUCCAAUUAGGGAACAGAUUGGGUUCCACCCUCAGACUUCAUCAGCAUGCAUAUAUGGAUUGCCUCUUCUCUGUGCAGAAUGUCCCAGCUGUUUGAGAGCUAAUAAAGGAUAAAGCCAGUUGUCACGCUUAAAGCCCCAGUAGGAUGUUUAUGCAAGAAGACAGAACUCAAAGCGAGGGAGACGAGCAGAGGGAACUGUUCCUUGGUGCCGUGGGCUUUAGAGCUGGUGUGGUUUAGUAGCUGAGUGGUCAAGGGAGAGGCUGAAGGUUGCAGGAUAUGAGCUGGGCUUAAAGAACAAAAAAAGGGGAACCUCAGGAGGGAAGAUUGGAAUUAAAUUGGAAUCUAAAGGUAGCAGACAGUGGAAUAUCAGAGUUCUGGCAGACAACUGACUUGAACAAGUGUCUACAAUGAUGCUGAUGACCAUCGUCACCAUCAAGCAGGCCCCGAGAGUCACUGGAUUGUAGAUCCAUGAGCCUGAGGGUAGGGCACAGGGAUGCUUUGCAUCUGAAAGCUUGCUUCAGCUAGAAGACCUUGUGUUUCAAGGAGACAGAGGCUAGGCUCUUGAGCCCAAAUAGCCUCUUCCUCAUAACUUCUUCAGGCUUCUAGUGUUCUGCCAACUGCAGUAUUUUGAGGACCCCUGUAACCAGUGAAAGUGAUUGCUACGGUUUAUUCCAGCUGCUUGUAUGUUUGAGCACAUUCUGACAUUCCAUAAACACAAUCACAUGUAAAUUCCUAUCUUCCUGUGAGGUGAAGCUCUCAUUUUCUCCAUUUAGUCCAUGGAGAAUCUGAAAUCAGAAGAGGUUGAGAACCCUAAGGAUGCACAGCUGGCAAGCAACAGCACCACCAUGGCAGACUCUGGGGAUUCUGCUGCCUUUGCUUGGAAGGUGUCUGACUAAAUAUACUCUAUUACAGAGUGAUGUCAGACAAUCUUUCUUAAAACAGUUGUGGGACUUGAACACAUACCAGGGAUGGGUCUCAUACUUGUGACUUGUAUAAACUUCAUUGGGAAGCAGUUUUUUUCAAAAGCGGAGGGAAAAUAUAUGUUGGGGAGACGAAAAGAAAUAGGCACAGAAAAAAAUUACACUGAAGACAAAGUCAUUAGCUUCAUGUUGUUUUGUUUGAGAGGGUUUCAGGCUAGCUGCAAACUCACUGUAUCGGUGAGAAUGACCGCAAACUCCUCAUCCUGUUUUGCACAUUUGAAGAUAAUGAUUCAUUAAUUUAAUCAAAGGAAGAACAUGUAAUGCCAUCCUAUCAUUUAUUUUCUAUGGCCAUAACAAAAUGGCACAGACUGGGUAACUUACAAAUGGUAGAAGUUUGUUAUGCAACUGGAGCCAGGGAAGUUCAAGACAAAAGAAAUUCUAGCCAAACUAAUUAUGUCAGGAAUGCACUCUAGAGUCGGGACUAUUGAACCAUUCUUAACUUGUCUCCUGAAGAUGUCAUCUCCUGUACUGGCUGGGUUUGAUGCAACUUGUCACAAGCCAGAGUCAUGAGAGAGGAAGGAGCCUCAGUCGAGAAACCUCCAUGAGAUACAAUUGUAAGGUAUUUUCUCAGUUAGUGGGUAUGGGACCAUGAAAGGCAGCCUGUUUUCUGGUUGAGCUAGGUUUAAACCCCAGAGCUGAACUCUGGCAGUUCCCCAGGGACCUCAGACUGUGCUUCCCCACUCCCAGAGCAGGGUCCUGUGGCUUCUUCAGGACUGUUUGUGGGACACCAUUCUAAGCCACACGUGAGGAAGGGCCCAGCCAUUGUGGUGCCAUCUCUGGGCUGGUGGUUCUAGGUUCUAUAAGAAAGCAGGCAGAGCAAUUCACUCGAAAGCAAGCCAAUAAACAGCACCCUUCCUUGGCCUCUGCAUCAGCUCCUGCCUUCAGGUUCCUGCCCUGUUUGAGUUCCUGCCCUGAUUUCCUUGGGUGAUGAACAGCUAUGUGGAAGUGAAAGCUGAAUAAGCCCCUUCCUUGCAUUUUGGUCAUGGUGUUUCAUUGCAGCAACAGAAACCUUAACUAAGUCAUUCCCUAAUAUUGUUACAAUGACGGAUUUCAGUGUGUUUUGGGACACACUGUAGCACCACGUGAGGGGAUAGUGGCACCAUUAAAGGUUUGUAGGAGCUUUGCCAUAAGAUGCUUUAUUUGAACUGACUGGACACUUUCUCAGAGUGAUUGCAGAGCUACCGGAAAAGAAAGCAGAAAAGAUACUGACUGAGAACACCUCACAAAUGUCUGCUCAAGGGCUGGGUGCCUCACUGGUCAGUUCCUGAAGUACAGAGUCAAGAUUUCCAUUUCUGACACGGUCUCUGAAGCGUAUUUUACAUCUACUUUGCAUUCGAGGUCGAUUUCCAAUGUAGACAGCCCUGGGGGCUCUCACCCACCUACCCACCUUCCUGCUGCCCUUUCCUUCUUUCUGUCUGCCAUGCUCAUGAUGGGCACAUCAUGCCCUUCCUCCUCUACAGCCUCACCAAGAAAGCGCUGGGUCUCUAUCCAUCCAACAGUUUAUGCGGUUUCCUCUCUGAAAUAUUUUCUGGCUGGUAGUCUUUUCCUCACUCUUCCUGAAGUAGUAUUUAGGUGUGAGGGCAUUGCUCGAAUUUCUCCAGCUAGUUUAUUGGUCCUUUGUUCAAACUGAACUGACAGCUCAUACUUACUAACAGCUUUUAG